rnacentral:sRNA from 1 species
AUUAUUAUUAACAUCCUUUUUUUUACGUUCGGGCCGUUCCUCGUUUUAAACGUUUUAUUAAUUUUCUUUUGGUUAUUAUUUUCCGUAAUUUGUUUGUUAUUUUAUUAACAAUUUUUGCGCGUUAUAAUUGGUUUUUUAAAAACGCCGAACCUUCGGUAAUUUGUAAUAUAACCCCGAGUACCAAUAAAAUCGGUAUAAGGCCGUUUGGGUUUAUAAUAUUAUUUAUCGUUUUUACCGCCGUUUAUAAUAUCGCCGGCGGUAUUAUAUUUUUACAUUCGACCCUAAUAAUUUCGUACGUUUUCCGUAACGGUUUAUAAUAACGUUUAAUUUUAUUUAAUAAUUAAUACGUUUCGAUUGGUAUUUGGUUGCAUAUUAUACCGAAAAACGUGUUUUUGAUUUGAAAUUUAAAACAGCAAUAUUGGUGCCUAAAUUGUAAAUAACAAUAUUUGGUAAUUCCAAAUACAUAUUUGUUUAAUAUUUUUUUAAUACCUCCCUCAUUCUUUUAACCGAUAUAUUAUUUGAAAAACGUAUUGUUUAAAAUGCAAUAUUCGCGUUAAUUAUAUAUAAAACCGGUUUGGAGUCCAAAUAUAAAAUAUCGAGGACAAUUUUAUAAUUGAAAUUUAUAUCGUUUUUCAAAAUAAAUUUAAAACGUUAUGGGACGUUCUUUUUAACUUGGCGAUGGUGGUAAAAGCGGUUUAUUAAUUUUAAUAUAUCCUGGUUUAUUUCGUGGUUUUUAUUUUAUAAUAUUUUUUAUAAAUAUUUUAUUAAUGGAUGGCCGAAUUUUCGAUAUAUUGUUCGCAAUUUUCUUUUAUUAGGAAAACUAUUAUUAUAUUUACGUUUUUUGUAAAAUAUAUCGCCGGUUUUUUCGGCUCCGUUCCAAAUAAAUAAAAUUAUAAAUGUCCCCAUUUGCGUAAAAUCGGUAUUUUAAUAUUAUUAAUUCUUACAAAUU